UACAGGGGGGGCAAGCGUUGUUCGGAGUUACUGGGCGUAAAGGGCUCGUAGGUGGCCAACUAAGUCAGACGUGAAAUCCCUCAGCUUAACUGGGGAACUGCGUCUGAUACUGGAUGGCUUGAGUUUGGGAGAGGGAUGCGGAAUUCCAGGUGUAGCGGUGAAAUGCGUAGAUAUCUGGAGGAACACCGGUGGCGAAGGCGGCAUCCUGGACCAACACUGACACUGAGGAGCGAAAGCCAGGGGAGCAAACGGG
rnacentral:rRNA from 1 species